rnacentral:rRNA from 1 species
GACGAACGCUGGCGGCGUGCUUAACACAUGCAAGUCGAACGCUGAAGCUCAGCUUUUGUUGGGUGGAUGAGUGGCGAACGGGUGAGUAACACGUGAGUAACCUGCCCCCUUCUUUGGGGUAACGCCCGGAAACGGGUGCUAAUACUGGAUAUUCACUGGUCUUCGCAUGGGGGUUGGUGGAAAGGGUUUUUCUGGUGGGGGAUGGGCCCGCGGCCUAUCAGCUUGUUGGUGGGGUGAUGGCCUACCAAGGCUUUGACGGGUAGCCGGCCUGAGAGGGUGACCGGUCACAUUGGGACUGAGAUACGGCCCAGACUCAUACGGGAGGCAGCAGUGGGGAAUAUUGCGCAAUGGGCGCAAGCCUGAUGCAGCGACGCCGCGUGAGGGAUGGAGGCCUGCGGGUUGUGAACCUCUUUCGCUCAUGGUCAAGCCGCAACAAUGGUUGUGGUGAGGGUAGUGGGUAAAGAAGCGCCGGCUAACUACGUG